GAGAGAGAGAGAGAGAGAGAGAGAGAGAGAGAGAGAGAGACAGAGAGAGAGAGAGAGAGAGAGAGAGAGAGAGAGAGAGAGAGAGAGAGAGAGAGAGAGAGAGAGAGAGAGAGAGAGAGAGAGAGAGAGAGAGAGAGAGCCUAGGACUAGGCUGACUAGUACAUAGGCCUAUAUUACGACAUAGUUAAUAGAGGAGAUGGUUUGGAAACUCAUUAGCAUUACAAUAAACCUCACUAUCUAUGUUUUUGUUCAGGUUUAUGCAAAAAUGUGGUCUUUCAUCGUCACGUGCAUAUUGUAUUUUUGCUCAACCAGCCAAUAGCAACGGUUUUAAUUUGUCCAAUUGCCCAUCCAUGACUUUAACAAUAGGACAUUUUGAACAUUCCUAUUGGUUGACUUGAGAAAAAUACAAUACGCACGUGUCGAUGAAAGACCACAUUUUUGCAUACUGCCUGAACAACAUAGAUAAUGAGGUUUAAUUGUGAUUUUAUUGUAAUGCUAACGAGUUUCCAGACCAUCUCCUCUAUUAACUAUGAUUACGAGAAGCUUAUAUUUGCUUGUCGUGGGCUCAAUAUUUGCAUAUUACCAGUCAUUGAACAGUGAUUAAUCCACCUAAACAAUGCCUGAGCGAUCAUGCCUGUAAAAUAAUGCGACAGACAAAUACGAGUAUGUUCUUAGUCGUUAGAGCAUUGACAAUCCAGAAGACAUCUGGAUUGUCUACAUAUGCAUGGUUAGAGUUAGUACACGUUGAGGAUUAAUUAGUUUAUUUUUGCGAGAUAUUUUGAAAUUCUAUUUUUUGUGGAUAUCUAAAGCAAAGCCAUUAACAGUUGUUAAAGGAUGAUUACAAACCAUGCAACCAUAGUGAAUAAAUGGGAAGAUUCAAGAUUGCCUUAAAAUCGGGCGGGAGCGUAUUUUUGAGGGCAUAAAUCAACA